rnacentral:rRNA from 1 species
GAUGAACGCUGGCGGCGUGCCUAAUACAUGCAAGUCGAGCGAACAGACGAGGAGCUUGCUCCUCUGACGUUAGCGGCGGACGGGUGAGUAACACGUGGAUAACCUACCUAUAAGACUGGGAUAACUUCGGGAAACCGGAGCUAAUACCGGAUAAUAUAUUGAACCGCAUGGUUCAAUAGUGAAAGACGGUUUUGCUGUCACUUAUAGAUGGAUCCGCGCCGCAUUAGCUAGUUGGUAAGGUAACGGCUUACCAAGGCAACGAUGCGUAGCCGACCUGAGAGGGGGGUCGGCCACACGGGAACUGAGACACGGUCCAUACUCCUACGGGAGGCAGCAGUAGGGAAUCGUCCGCAAUGGGCGAAAGCCUGACGGAGCAACGCCGCGUGAGUGAUGAAGGUCUUCGGAUCGUAAAACUCUGUUAUUAGGGAAGAACAAAUGUGUAAGUAACUAUACACGUCUUGACGGUACCUAAUCAGAAAGCCACGGCUAACUACGUG